AGGUUGAGAACCGUUGUCCUAGAUC
rnacentral:piRNA from 1 species